AUUGAACGCUGGCGGCAGGCCUAACACAUGCAAGUCGAGCGAGCGGCGGACGGGUGAGUAAUGUAUGGGGACUGCCCGAUAGAGGGGGAUAACUACUGGAAACGGUAGCUAAUACCGCAUACCAUCGGAUAACCCAGAUGGGAUUAGCUUGUUGGUGGGGUAAUGGCCAACCAAGGCGACGAUCCCUAGCUGGUCUGAGAGGAUGAUCAGCCACACUGGGACUGAGACACGGCCCAGACUCCUACGGAGGCAGCAGUGGGGAAUAUUGGACAAUGGGCGCAAGCCUGAUGCAGCCAUGCCGCGUGUAUGAAGAAGGCCUUAGGGUUGUAAAGUACUUUCAGUCGGGAGGCGUUACCGACAGAAGAAGCACCGGCUAACUCCGUGCCAGCAGCCGCGGUAAUUC
rnacentral:rRNA from 1 species